rnacentral:rRNA from 1 species
AUUGAACGCUGGCGGCAGGCCUAACACAUGCAAGUCGAACGGUAACAGGAAGAAGCUUGCUUCUUUGCUGACGAGUGGCGGACGGGUGAGUAAUGUCUGGGAAACUGCCUGAUGGAGGGGGAUAACUACUGGAAACGGUAGCUAAUACCGCAUAACGUCGCAAGACCAAAGAGGGGGACCUUCGGUCCUCUUGCCAUCGGAUGUGCCCAGAUGGGAUUAGCUAGUAGGUGGGGUAACGGCUCACCUAGGCGACGAUCCCUAGCUGGUCUGAGAGGAUGACCAGCCACACUGGAACUGAGACACGGUCCAGACUCCUACGGGAGGCAGCAGUGGGGAAUAUUGCACAAUGGGCGCAAGCCUGAUGCAGCCAUGCCGCGUGUAUGAAGAAGGCCUUCGGGUUGUAAAGUACUUUCAGCGGGGAGGAAGGGAGUAAAGUUAAUACCUUUGCUCAUUGACGUUACCCGCAGAAGAAGCACCGGCUAACUCCGUG